rnacentral:miRNA from 1 species
CAAAUUUGAUGUUUAUGUCGUCGAUAUACGACUUCAUAAACAACACCAAGUUUGGUGUUUAUGACGUUCGAUAUGCGACGUAAUAAACACCAUCAACUUUGGUGUUUAUGACGUCGAUAUUCGACGUCAUAAACACCAUCAAGUUUGGUCUUUAUGACGUCGAUAUACAACGUCAUAAACACCAUCAAGUUUGGUGUUGAUGGCGUCGAUAUACGACGUCAUAAACAACACCAAGUUUG